rnacentral:pre_miRNA from 1 species
GAUAUACUCCCUCCAUCCCAAAAUAAGUGACUCAAAAGUGGCUCAACUUUGUACUAACGUUAGUACAAAGUUGAGUCAUUUUUGAGUCGCUUAUUUUGGGAUGGAGGGAGUACAAA